CUAUUUUGGCAGAUUAGUGUGAUAAAUUUAGAAUUUAUUUAUGUGAUAUUUCACAAAUAGUA
rnacentral:tRNA from 1 species